UACGGGAGGAGCGAGCAUUAUUCGGAAUGAUUAGGCGUAAAGAGCUCGUAGGCGGUUUGUCGCGUCUGCCGUGAAAGUCCGGGGCUCAACUCCGGAUCUGCGGUGGGUACGGGCAGACUAGAGUGAUGUAGGGGAGACUGGAAUUCCUGGUGUAGCGGUGAAAUGCGCAGAUAUCAGGAGGAACACCGAUGGCGAAGGCAGGUCUCUGGGCAUUAACUGACGCUGAGGAGCGAAAGCAUGGGGAGCGAACAGG
rnacentral:rRNA from 1 species